GAGUUUGAUCCUGGCUCAGGACGAACGCUGGCGGCGGGCUUAACACAUGCAAGUCGAAGGAGAACCUUACUUUCGGGUGAGGGGAGACUGGCGCACGGGUGAGUAACGCGUAGGCAAUCUGCCCAUAGCAGGGGGAUAACAUCGGGAAACCGGUGCUAAUACCGCAUAAUGCAGCGGGGCCGCAUGGCCACAGUUGUUAAAGGUUUCGACUGGCUAUGGAUGAGCCUGCGUGCCAUUAGUUAGUUGGUAGGGUAAUGGCCUACCAAGGCGAUGAUGGCUAGGGGGUCUGAGAGGAUGAUCCCCCACACUGGAACUGAGACACGGUCCAGACUCCUACGGGAGGCAGCAGUGAGGAAUCUUGCGCAAUGGAGGAAACUCUGACGCAGCCACGCCGCGUGCCGGAAGACGGCCCUAUGGGUUGUAAACGGCUUUUGUUCGGGAAGAAAGUACGGGUUUUGAUCUGUAUUGACGGUACCGAUUGAAUAAGCACCGGCUAACUCCGUGCCAGCAGCCGCGGUAAUACGGAGGGUGCAAGCGUUGUCCGGAAUCAUUGGGUGUAAAGGGUGCGUAGGCUGGUGUCUAAGUCUGGGGUGAAAUUUUGCCGCUUAACGGUAACAUGGCCUUGGAUACUGGAUGCCUUGAAUCUGACAGAGGUCGGUGGAAUUCGUAGUGUAGCGGUGAAAUGCAUAGAUAUUACGAAGAACACCAGUGGCGAAGGCGGCCGGCUGGGUCAGUAUUGACGCUGAGGCACGAGAGCGUGGGGAGCGAACAGGAUUAGAUACCCUGGUAGUCCACGCUGUAAACGAUGUAUGCUAGUUGUUGGGCCUUUAGGUUCAGUGACGCAGUUAACGCAGUAAGCAUACCACCUGGGGAGUACGUUCGCAAGAAUGAAACUCAAAGGAAUUGACGGGGGCCCGCACAAGCGGUGGAGCAUGUGGCUUAAUUCGAUGCA
rnacentral:rRNA from 1 species